CACGCCCUAAACGAUGUCAACUAGUUGUUCGGUGAGGAGACUCAUUGAGUAACGCAGCUAACGCGUGAAGUUGACCGCCUGGGGANACGCGAAAAACCUUACCUACCCUUGACAUGCCAGGAACUUGCCAGAGAUGGCUUGGUGCUCGAAAGAGAGCCUGGACACAGGUGC
rnacentral:rRNA from 1 species